UGGGGAAUCUUGCACAAUGGGCGAAAGCCUGAUGCAGCGACGCCGCGUGCGGGAUGAAGGCCUUCGGGUUGUAAACCGCUUUCAGCAGGGACGAGGCGAAAGUGACGGUACCUGCAGAAGAAGCCCCGGCUAACUACGUGCCAGCAGCCGCGGUAAUACGUAGGGGGCAAGCGUUAUCCGGAUUCAUUGGGCGUAAAGCGCUCGUAGGCGGUCUGUUAGGUCGGGAGUUAAAUCCGGGGGCUCAACCCCCGUUCGCUCCCGAUACCGGCAGACUUGAGUUUGGUAGGGGAAGGUGGAAUUCCUAGUGUAGCGGUGGAAUGCGCAGAUAUUAGGAAGAACACCAGUGGCGAAGGCGGCCUUCUGGGCCAUAACUGACGCUGAGGAGCGAAAGCUAGGGGAGCAAACA
rnacentral:rRNA from 2 species